UAACUUGUAGUGCAAAGAUUAUGUUCAAGCUCUGCAAUCCUCACUUUAAGGGCCUUCACCUGUAUCACACACAUUUACAAUAUGAAUUCCUAGUCAUACUUCCACGUAAAACAUUUAAGAAAGAAACAAAAAUAUUUAUAAUAGAACAAAAAAAAUCACCAUUUCAAAUCAUGUCGUAAGAUCAACAAAAUCAAUAAAUAAAAUCUCCAAUAUUUUAUCAUGAAAAGGUUAUUAGUUUAUUGAAAGAUCAGCAAUUAAUCCAUACCUCUUCAUCCAACAAGGAGAUUAAUUUGUCUUUAUCAAUUACGUCUUUAGACAUCAUUCCAGCAACUUUAACUGCAUCACCUUCAUAAUCUCCAUUUCCUGUGGUUGGACUUGCAUUAGAAUCUCUUUCUUCUGCAUUGAAUGUAGCUCCAGAAUGCUGACCAAACUCUUUUCCAGCUUCCUCCGUGACCAACAUAUCAAUAUCUAGCUUUUCAGUUAUAUUUCGUGGAACAGAAUCAUCAGACUCCUCUUUAGGAUACAUAAAGCCACUACUAUUUGAGGAAUCCUCUAACACGUCUGCUGAAAUGUCUUGAGAAUUAUGCUCGUUAACCAUGAUAUACGGAUGCGACAUAGAACUGCCUUCCGUAGCUGUACAUGCCAGCUGUUCCAAAUUUGCACCAUUUAUGUUAUUGUUGUUAUUUUGAGAAGUCAUGGUACCACUGGAUACAAAAGCUUGGCAGGAGGCAUCAGCUACAGACUCUUGCUCUGGUAUCCUUUCCAUGUAAACAGACUCCAUAGGAAAAGGUGAACAUAAGCAUUCUUGAUGGCAAAGGAUAUCAUAAGACAGUACACUUCCUAAUGAGUGACCAUAUAUUGAAACCUGAAAACAGUAACAUGCAUCUGUAAAACCCACCCAAGGUUGCCAUGACAACAAAGAAGACAAAUAUUGCUCAGUUUAUACAUUUCACUACAAACCUUCCCAUUGUAGCCUGGAUUUCUUUUGAGAAACUUCGCAUACAAUCUGUUUAACUGGUUUGAAACCUGAAAGCAUGAUUUAUAAGUUAAAAGAGCUCUACUAAUGCAGUUUGAGAUUCGGAUUUGUAACAUUAGAUCGCUCCCUCCUUUUUAUUUUCAUGCUAUUGAUUGGAAAAUUUCACUGGUGCAAUCUGUUCAAUUUUAUUAACCAUGCUAAUUUUUUAGGCAAAACUUGUUAUUCAGAUAUGCUAUCUUCAAUAUUAACCUUUAAACCCUAAGGUGCAUUUGAAGAUGCCGAAUGGUGGGUUUUGCUCCUGUGCUAGCCACUAUAACAAUGAUUAAAUUCAUUAUCUUCAUAUUUUAAUACAUAUGAAUACAAACAUUUUGGAAUGCAUUAGUUUCUAAAAUCCUUUGCACUUUUGCAGUAUUUCCCAAUUUUAGUCAACAUGUACCACUGUCAGUGAUAUGGCCAGCAAACAAUUUUCUUUUAGAUCAUUUGCUUUUGUAAAAUCACUAGGUAACAAAAAAUACAAUUUAGCUACGGUUUUGUCUAUAUAGAAGCUAAAGUUGUGUCAAUGCAAGUAGAAGACACACAUAACCUACAUGAAUCAUGCCAUAAAUCAUACAGAAAUUAUCCACAAAGAGUGGCGAUAGAUCGCUCAGACGUCCAAGCCAAUAUCAAUGAUACAAAGUCAUUGCAAACCAAGAGAAGCAUAAGAUUUAUUUUCUACAAUAGUGUGAUAUCUUUCACCCAAGGUUCCUAAAAGUUGGGCAUUAAUGAAAGUUGGUUUCAGCAUCUCUCAUCUGAACUAGCAAACACAAAUGUUGAAAUGCAUCUCCAGUCAAAGAUACAGCUCAAAUGCACAGAAUCUGUAAGUACCCUCUCAAGCAUCAUAAUAUUUGCAACACUGCACAAUAACUACAACAAGCCUUAUUAGGUGGAUUGUGUGAGCAGAUCAACUAUUGAAACAAGAAGGUGCCUAUACUGAGAAGCAACAUAGUUGUACUGAUUGCCUUGAUUUGAUAUCUUCUGAUGUAUACUAAUUCCUUCUUCCAAUUUCACUUCUAGAAUUUCAGAUCAAUUUUGUCUGUAUCAAACCAUUCACCUAGCAAAGUUUCAAUUGACUGCUAUUCUCAUGCUCAAUUUUGUUUGAGUAGGAUCACAGGAUCCUAUCUUCAAACGCAUACCCUUCAAGAAUUCUUCUCUUAAAUUCUACAAAUACUUAUAGUCAUUCAUAUAUUCUAUUGUUUGAUUCUUGUUAUUUGGGGCUAAUGUACCAAAAGAUAAGCUAUCCAUUAGUUCCAAAUAGAAAUAGGUCUUACAAAGUGUUAAUCAGUCAAUUCAAGGUCAGAGAAUCAUAUAUACUUAAAUGAAAUAGAAUAGAUACUCAAGUGAGUUACAGCAAAGCAUAGGCCAAGAAUGGCCCAACAAUGACUUGAGGAAUGCCUUUACAGCAUGUGGUAAUCACCCUUAUUGGACUUAGGUCAAUCUGCAUGACGGUUAUACUCAAUUGCUAGAUAAUGUUAAGAUGGUGUUCAAUAAGGGUUAUGUCAUACAGACACUUACGCCCAGCUCCAAAAAUCCAUGUCAGAUAGAUAUCCAAAUUGGAUACAUUUCAAACACUUGAAUACUCAUGAAAUUCUUUGGUUGCAGCUUUUGAAGAUUGGUUGAGAGUUGGAUUCUUCCAACAUUGAGUUUUACAGGUCAUUUUGAAUCAAAAGUCAGUAUUUGUUCUUCUCGGAGCUUGUUCAAGGAAGUGGGUGCUGAAAUAACUUAUCAAAAAUUUCUUUUUCUUACAUCAGUAAGUUAAUUAGGAGGUUUGGACAAAAGACUUGUAUCAAAACAUUAACAAAUAAUAUCUUUUUUAAUGUUUUAAAAAAGUUUUUUUCUAACAUUUAAACAAACAAGGAUGAAGGUAUAAAUACAUCUAAUUUAAUUAAAAUUAUAUUCAUCCUAUGCAUCCCUUGAUCUACUUUUUCUUCCUACAGAGUUGGACACUUGGGUAUGAAUUUAAAUCCGAUUCUUAUAUCCAUUAUGAGGAUGAUAAUGUUAUUUCGAUGAUUAACACAACAAUAGAAAGAAUAUCAAAUUAGCAAUACAAUUUAACUUGAUACAUCACUAAGGAAUGGUACACCCUCAAUACAUUCACGAUACAUUGAGAAAAUGAGAUCAAGACGACCCUCAA
rnacentral:lncRNA from 1 species